AUUGAACGCUAGCGGGAUGCUUUACACAUGCAAGUCGAACGAGUGGCGGACGGGUGAGUAAUAUAUCGGAACGUGCCCCGUAGCGGGGGAUAACUACUCGAAAGAGUAGCUAAUACCGCAUACCAUUAGAUCUGCCGAUUGGGGAUUAGCUAGUUGGUGGGGUAAAGGCUCACCAAGGCAACGAUCCGUAGCUGGUUUGAGAGGAUGACCAGCCACACUGGUACUGAGACACGGCCCAGACUCCGACGGGAGGCAGCAGGGGGGAAUUGUGGACAAUGGGGGAAACCCUGAUCCAGCCAUCCCGCGUGUAUGAGAAGGCCUUCGGGUUGUAAAGUACUUUUGGCAGAGAAGCGGUAUCUGCAGAAUAAGCACCGGCUAACUCCGUGCCAGCAGCCGCGGUAAUUC
rnacentral:rRNA from 1 species